UCGGGAAUUUUGGGCAAUGGGGGAAACCCUGACCCAGCAACGCCGCGUGAAGGAUGAAGUAUUUCGGUAUGUAAACUUCGAAAGAAUAGGAAGAAUAAAUGACGGUACUAUUUAUAAGGUCCGGCUAACUACGUGCCAGCAGCCGCGGUAAUACGUAGGGACCAAGCGUUGUUCGGAUUUACUGGGCGUAAAGGGCGCGUAGGCGGCAUGACAAGUCACUUGUGAAAUCUCUGGGCUUAACCCAGAACGGCCAAGUGAUACUGUCGCGCUAGAGUGCAGAAGGGGCAAUCGGAAUUCUUGGUGUAGCGGUGAAAUGCGUAGAUAUCAAGAGGAACACCUGAGGUGAAGACGGGUUGCUGGGCUGACACUGACGCUGAGGCGCGAAAGCCAGGGGAGCAAACGGGAUUAGAUACCCACGUAGUCCCUGAGCGGGCUGGCAAGGCG
rnacentral:rRNA from 1 species